rnacentral:rRNA from 1 species
CCAGACUCCUACGGGAGGCAGCAGUGGGGAAUAUUGCACAAUGGGGGAAACCCUGAUGCAGCGACGCCGCGUGAGUGAGGAAGUAUUUCGGUAUGUAAAGCUCUAUCAGCAGGGAAGAAAAUGACGGUACCUGACUAAGAAGCCCCGGCUAACUACGUGCCAGCAGCCGCGGUAAUACGUAGGGGGCAAGCGUUAUCCGGAGUUACUGGGUGUAAAGGGAGCGUAGACGGACUUGCAAGUCUGAUGUGAAAAGCCGGGGCCCAACCCCGGAACUGCAUUGGAAACUGUAUAUCUAGAGUGUCGGAGAGGCAAGAGGAAUUCCUGGUGUAGCGGUGAAAUGCGUAGAUAUCAGGAGGAACACCAGUGGCGAAGGCGGCUUACUGGACAGUAACUGACGUUGAGGCUCGAAAGCGUGGGGAGCAAACAGGAGUAGAUACCCUCGUA